CGUACGGCUCAGUAACACGUAGUCAAUCUACCGUAAAGAGGCGAAUACCCAUGGGAAACUGUGGCUAAUGCGCCAUAGGCCAGGGAUUCUGGAAGGAGCCCUGACUUAAAGGAGCGCGAAUUGCAGCGCUUCCGCUUUACGAUGAGACUGCGGCGGAUCAGGCAGAUGGCGGGGUAACGGCCCACCAUACCUAUAACCCGUAGGGGAUGUGGGAGCAUAAGCCCCGAGAAGGGCACUGAGACAAGGGCCCUAGCACUACGGUGUGCAGCAGGCGCGCAAACUCCACAAUGCGCGUAAGCGUGAUGGGGGGAAUCUGAGUGGUUCACUUUGUGAACCUUUUGCCAAGUAUAGCAAGCUUGGCGAAUAAGUGCUGGGCAAGACCGGUGGCAGCCGCCACGGUAAUACCGGCAGCACAAGUGGUGUCCACGAUUAUUGGGCUUAAAGCGCUCGUAGCCGGCUGAUGCCGUCUCGCGUGAAAUAUUGGCGCUCAACGUCAAUGCGUGCGCGAGAUACCCAUCGGCUAGGGAGCGGGUGAGGUCAGGAGUACUUAUGGGGGGAGGGGUUAAAUCCUGUAAUCCUAUAAGGACUAACGGUGGCGAAGGCGCCUGACUAGGAAUAUACAGGUGCAACAGGGGAAAAGCGGAUUGAACUGUCCUCCAAGCAAGGAUGAUAUGAUUGCAAAGGUUUGCCAAGCUCGCAAAUGGACGAGUUCGGGCAUUGAGCCUAACAAAGAUAAUCAUCGACAGCGAGGGCAAGGUCAAGAAAACUUUCUUCUACAACUCCACGAUGGUGAAAAGGUUUGAAAAGGCGCUUGAAAGAAGAGUAAACAUAUUCAAGUACGCCAAUGCAUAUUCCGGAAAUUACUUCGCGGCGCUGUUCGACUGCAACGGAGGCAAGGAUGCUAAAGGCAUCUUUCUGAAGGGCAUGGACAGCGUUGACGAGGUAGUACUCGAAAGGCUCAACAUACACACGGACAAAAGGGGCAGCAAGGAUUACCUUGCAAACCAGUCCGCAUUCAUAACGCUAAUAAAAGAUUACAGCCUUAGAAUUGCGAGUAUUAUUCAUUGACCCGGAAACGAGCGAGACCCUCGCUUACAGUUGCUACCUGCUUAGAGAUAAGCAGGGCACUCUGUUAGGACCGCCUUCGUUUAAGGAGGAGGAAGGAGAGGGCGACGAUACGUCAGUAUGCUCUGAAUCUUCUGGGCUACACGCGGCAUACAAAGGUCGGCACAAUGAGAUGCAACACCGAAAGGUGAAGCUAAUCCCCUAAAACCGGCCCAAGUUCGGAUUGAGGGCUGAAACUCGCCCUCAUGAAGCUGGAAUCCCUAGUAAUCGCUUGUCACUAUCGAGCGGUGAAUACGUCCCUGCUCCUUGCACACACCGCCUACCAAGCCACCCAAGUGAGGUCUUAGUGAGGCAGCGCCACUGGCGUUUUCGAACUAAGGUUUCGCGAGGUGGGCUAAGGUAUAACAAGGUAUCCGUAGGGGAACCUGCGGAUAGAUCACCUCAAAGGGC
rnacentral:rRNA from 1 species